GCGGCCUCCCGGCAGGCGGACCUCCACCGGGUGGGCGCGGCAGGCGGGCUGUGCGGGCAGGAAGAGCGACGAGCUUGAGAGUGGGAGAUGGGGUGCAACGGCGGGCCUCUCCGGGAAGGUGACACUGCCGCUGAGACCCAAAUGGAAGGGCGCGCCCGGCGGGGGAACAGCAGGCGCCGAGGUGGACCCAGGGGCAGCUGCGGCUGGUCCAUGUGGAGCUCCUUCAAGCCGAAGCAUCCGACACCAGUGUCUGUGAGGUGUGGGCCCGGCCCCUGGAGCGGGGCCUGGGCAGCCCCGUGUGAUGAGGAAGGAAGGCAGGGCCCCCGCUCCCCGGGCCUGACCCCACUGCUUCAGCCCCCUCCUGCCUGCCUACAGCCUGGCCUCGAGGGCCCAUCAGAUGGAGUCUCACUCUGUCGCCCAGACUGGAGUGCAAUGGCGUGAUCUCGGCUCACUGCAAGCUCCGCCUUCCCGGUUCAUGCCAUUCUCUUGCCUCAGCCUCCUGAGUAGCUGGGACUACAGGUGCCCACCACCACACCUG
rnacentral:lncRNA from 1 species